CAAUCGGUGGUUCAGUGGUGGAAUGCUCAAUUGCCACGCGGGCGGCCCGGGUUCGAUUCCUGGCUGAUACA
rfam:Oesophagostomum dentatum strain OD-Hann O_dentatum-1.0_Cont182.27, whole genome shotgun sequence.